AUUGAACGCUGGCGGCAUGCUUUACACAUGCAAGUCGAACGGCAGCACGGGGGCAACCCUGGUGGCGAGUGGCGAACGGGUGAGUAAUGCAUCGGAACGUAUCCUUAAGUGGGGGAUAACGCAUCGAAAGAUGCGCUAAUACCGCAUAAUCUCUGAGGAGAAAAGCAGGGGAUCGCAAGACCUUGCGCUUUUGGAGCGGCCGAUGUCUGAUUAGCAGUUGGUGAGGUAAAGGCUUACCAAGGCUUCGAUCAGUAGCUGGUCUGAGAGGACGACCAGCCACACUGGGACUGAGACACGGCCCAGACUCCUACGGGAGGCAGCAGUGGGGAAUUUUGGACAAUGGGGGCAACCCUGAUCCAGCCAUGCCGCGUGAGUGAAGAAGGCC
rnacentral:rRNA from 1 species